rnacentral:rRNA from 1 species
GACGUAGGAGGCGAGCGUUGUCCGGAUUCAUUGGGCGUAAAGAGCACGCAGGCGGUUUGGCAAGUCGGAUGUGAAAACCCGGAGCUCAACUCCGGACCUGCAUCCGAAACUGCCCGACUAGAGGUAGGUAGGGGAGAUCGGAAUUCCUGGUGUAGCGGUGAAAUGCGCAGAUAUCAGGAGGAACACCGGUGGCGAAGGCGGGUCUCUGGGCCGGAUACUGACGCUGGAGGAGCGAAAGCGUGGGGAGCGAACAGG